GGGUCAGUAGGUUGGUCGUGCCACCGGUACGUACUGGUCUCACUGAUUCCUCCUUCCUGAAGAACCGUAAUGCCAUUAAUUUGGUGUUGCGGGGAAACAGGACUGUUACUUUGAAAAAAUUAGAGCGUUUAAAGCAAGCUAACGCUUGAAUACAUUAGCAUGAAAUAAUGAAAUAGGGCGAUCGAUCCUAUUUUGUUGGUUUCUAGGAUUGACGUA
rnacentral:rRNA from 1 species